GACUUAAGAGGACGCAGCGGAGGGCCGUGCGUCGUGACGUCAAGGAGACCUUAUAUACAGGACUCAGCCGCCAUAUCGGCCUUUCGGAGCUGUGAGGCGACUGCGGGCAGGAAUGGUGCCGUGGACCUCUCUGGGGCUCUUUCUGGCAUAUCAUAGACAGUUUUGGGGCAAAGACGGAUGAAGGAUGAGGAUUUAUGGAAGAACCUGGAUUAACCAUGGGUACUUUUACUGGAAAAUUAAAGAUGAAAUGUGUUCAAGUUGUCUGGACAGCUUUUCAUUUGAGUAAGUAUUGGAAUCCAACACCGGCUAUAGGCCAGUUUAGAGAGGCAUGCCACGCUUGUGGAUGUCAGACAUCUGCGUGUGUUGUCUCGUGAAUGUGUUAGGUUUAGUUGGACUAUGCUCUAAUCGGGGUUUUUGUAAUGAUGUUGAUCCAAAUGUCUGACCUGAAAAUAACAUACAUGUAGACAGCAAAUUAAACACUGAAGAAUCCUGUGACAGGCAACUAAGAAUAAUUGGAUGAUGCUUAGCAUAUUUGUAAGAGGUGUUUUCUUUUAAUUCUAGCAACUGGUUGCAUGUUUGCAUUUGGAUGGCUUGCUUUGGUAAGAAGCUAGUUACUGGGCUCUUGGUUUAUGCUAAUGAGCAGGGUUAUUUGCAGUAUUAUGCAACAGUUAAUUCUUAGUACUUAAUUUUUUAUGUCCAAUCCCUGGACCACUGGAAGAGCAAUUGACAUUCUAAAUGAAGGCUAUCAGCAUGGUUCCGGUUGAAUGAAGGCACAGACAAGGUUUUCUACAAUGAUCAGAUCCUUCAUUUUGAAUCUCAAGAGCUCCUGUGGCAGAAAUGGACUUGCAAUUCAGUCAUUUUCACCUUACUAUUUAAAAGGUGACUGGCUGGCUGGCUCGAGGCUCAGGAAGAAGAUACUUAAAAGGUGUAAUCCCUUAAUAAUAUCAAAAUAAAUUGAAUUAAAUAUA